CCUACGGGAGGCAGCAGUGGGGAAUAUUGCGCAAUGGGCGAAAGCCUGACGCAGCGACGCCGCGUGAGGGAUGAAGGUUCUCGGAUCGUAAACCUCUGUCAGAAGGGAAGAAAUUAUAUCAUGCUAAACAGUGGUGUAUUGACGGUACCUUCAAAGGAAGCACCGGCUAACUCCGUGCCAGCAGCCGCGGUAAUACGGAGGGUGCUAGCGUUAAUCGGAAUUACUGGGCGGAAAGCGCACGGAGGCUGUAUGACAAGUCCAGGGUGAAAUGCCCCGGCUCAACCGGGGAACUGCAUUUGAAAAUGGCAAACUGGAGUAUUUGAGAGGGAGGUGGAAUUCCUGGUGUAGAGGUGAAAUCCGUAGAGAUCAGGAGGAACAUCAGUGGCGAAGGCGGCCGCCUGGCACAAAACUGACGCUGAGGUGCGAAAGCGUGGGUAGCAAACAGGAUUAGAUACCCUUGUAGUC
rnacentral:rRNA from 1 species